rnacentral:tRNA from 1 species
GCCCAGAUAGCUCAGUCGGUAGAGCAGAGGAUUGAAAAUCCCCGUGUCGGCGGUUCGAUUCCGUCUCUGGGCACCA